rnacentral:rRNA from 1 species
GACAUCGAAAGCUUGCUUUUGAUGGGCGUCGACCGGCGCACGGGUGAGUAACGCGUAUCCAACCUGCCCACCACUUGGGGAUAACCUUGCGAAAGUAAGACUAAUACCCAAUGAUAUCUCUAGAAGACAUCUGAAAGAGAUUAAAGAUUUAUCGGUGAUGGAUGGGGAUGCGUCUGAUUAGCUUGUUGGCGGGGUAACGGCCCACCAAGGCAACGAUCAGUAGGGGUUCUGAGAGGAAGGUCCCCCACAUUGGAACUGAGACACGGUCCAAACUCCUACGGGAGGCAGCAGUGAGGAAUAUUGGUCAAUGGACGAGAGUCUGAACCAGCCAAGUAGCGUGCAGGAUGACGGCCCUAUGGGUUGUAAACUGCUUUUAUAAGGGAAUAAAGUGAGUCUCGUGAGACUUUUUGCAUGUACCUUAUGAAUAAGGACCGGCUAAUUCCGUGCCAGCAGCCGCGGUAAUACGGAAGGUCCGGGCGUUAUCCGGAUUUAUUGGGUUUAAAGGGAGCGUAGGCCGGAGAUUAAGCGUGUUGUGAAAUGUAGAUGCUCAACAUCUGCACUGCAGCGCGAACUGGUUUCCUUGAGUACGCACAAAGUGGGCGGAAUUCGUGGUGUAGCGGUGAAAUGCUUAGAUAUCACGAAGAACUCCGAUUGCGAAGGCAGCUCACUGGAGCGCAACUGACGCUGAAGCUCGAAAGUGCGGGUAUAGAACAGGAUUAGAUACCCUGGUAGUCCGCACGGUAAACGAUGGAUGCCCGCUGUUGGUCUGAAUAGGUCAGCGGC